rnacentral:tRNA from 1 species
GCGGUGGUGGUUCAGUGGUAGAAUUCUUGCCUUACAUGAAGGAGGCCCAGGUUCAUUUUCUGGCCAGUGCA